AUUCCAGCUCCAAUAGCGUAUAUUAAAGUUGUUGCAGUUAAAAAGCUCGUAGUUGGAUUUCUGAUUGAGACAUCAGGUCGGGUCCGAGAGGAUCAUGUACUUUGAUUUGUUUUGAUCAUCCUUGGGGAGAGCAAUUCUGGCAUUAAGUUGUCGGGGUUGGGAUCCUCAUCGUUUACUGUGAAAAAAUUAGAGUGUUCAAAGCAGGCCUCGGCCUCUGAAUACAUUAGCAUGGAAUAAUAAGAUAGGACUUUGGUGGUCUAUUUUGUUGGUUUGCACGCCAAAGUAAUGAUUAAUAGGGAUAGUUGGGGGUAUUCGUAUUCAAUUGUCAGAGGUGAAAUUCUUGGAUUUAUGGAAGACGAACUACUGCGAAAGCAUUUACCAAGGAUGUUUUCAUUA
rnacentral:rRNA from 1 species